AUUUCUUGUAGGCUUUGAGCAUCAGAAUGAUUAGCACUGCUAUUCCGAUUCAGAGAUAAGGUUAAACGACAGGCUUUGCCUAUACAGGUUGGCUGGCCGGUGCUGACGGGACGGAGCUGAGGCUAGAGAUAAAUUCCUAUGUUAGACUUCCGCUGUAGCAAUUACUCAUAUCAGUCUUUUGUUUUCCCAACUUAAGAUCUUCAUGUUAAAUUUCAAAUGAUAUAUCUGACCGAGCUUAGACUCUUCACUACUUAAUUUAUGCCAAUGAAUGUCGGUUGUCAGAAGCAUGAAACAAAACUUGUGAUCCAAAGGGGCAUAGCCCGACUUUCUAUCCUAUUUCGGGUUUUUACAAGGUUGUUCCUUGUUUAUUUCUAUGAAUUA